UACGAAGGGGGCUAGCGUUGCUCGGAAUUACUGGGCGUAAAGCGUGUGUAGGCGGUCCACUAAGUCGGGUGUGAAAGCCCUGGGCUCAACCCAGGAAGUGCACUCGAAACUGGCGGGCUAGAGUAUCGGAGAGGUUGGUGGAAUUCUCGGUGUAGAGGUGAAAUUCGUAGAUAUCGAGAGGAACACCGGUGGCGAAGGCGGCCAACUGGACGAAUACUGACGCUGAGACACGAAAGCGUGGGGAGCAAACAGG
rnacentral:rRNA from 1 species